rnacentral:lncRNA from 1 species
AAGGGGUACAACUUAGUGCAGGAAAACAUUGUUCCCUUACCAGCCGCAAGGACAGUACAGAAGCACACUGAGCACAUCAAGUUCAGACCUGGUAUUCUGGAUGAAGUUUUCGUCGCCCUAAAGGAGAAAGUGACUACAAUGGCUCCCAAUGAGAGACACGCUUGCGUUUUGAUGGACGAGAUGCAAAUUUCACCAGGGCUAGAUUAUGACGCCUCCAUUGGCAGCAUCAUAGGGCAACCAACCAUUGGCCUGUC